rnacentral:tRNA from 1 species
CGGGGUGUAGCUUAGCCUGGCAAAAGCGCGUGACUGGGGGUCACGAGAUCGCUGGUUCGAAUCCAGUCGCCCCGA